rnacentral:pre_miRNA from 1 species
CUAAAAGGAACGAUCGUUGUGAUAUGCGUUAACUGAUCGUUACAUAUCACAGUGAUUUUCCUUUAUAGCG